rnacentral:rRNA from 1 species
ACGCCCUAAACGAUGUCAACUAGCUGUUGGGGCCUUCGGGCCUUGGUAGCGCAGCUAACGCGUGAAGUUGACCGCCUGGGGAGUACGGUCGCAAGAUUAAAACUCAAAGGAAUUGACGGGGACCCGCACAAGCGGUGGAUGAUGUGGAUUAAUUCGAUGCAACGCGAAAAACCUUACCUACCCUUGACAUGUCUGGAAUUCCGAAGAGAUUUGGAAGUGCUCGCAAGAGAACCGGAACACAGGUGCUGCAUGGCUGUCGUCAGCUCGUGUCGUGAGAUGUUGGGUUAAGUCCCGCAACGAGCGCAACCCUUGUCAUUAGUUGCUACGAAAGGGCACUCUAAUGAGACUGCCGGUGACAAACCGGAGGAAGGUGGGGAUGACGUCAAGUCCUCAUGGCCCUUAUGGGUAGGGCUUCACACGUCAUACAAUGGUCGGGACAGAGGGUCGCCAACCCGCGAGGGGGAGCCAAUCCCAGAAACCCGAUCGUAGUCCGGAUCGCAGUCUGCAACUCGACUGCGUGAAGUCGGAAUCGCUAGUAAUCGCGGAUCAGCAUGUCGCGGUGAAUACGUUCCCGGGUCUUGUACACACCGCCCGUCACACCAUGGGAGUGGGUUUUACCAGAAGUAGUUAGCCUAACCGUAAGGGGGGCGAUUACCACGGUAGGAUUCAUGACUGGGGUGAAGUC